rnacentral:lncRNA from 1 species
UUUAAGAUUAUUUUGCAGGUAAAUAAUCCAAGACUGAAUAAACAUAUAACAUACGAACUUAAGGGCAAUAGCGCAAAAGUUUUAAUAAAUAAAUGUGGAUGUUAUAUCAAUGAAGCUUGGGGACAAGACUGCAAAUAUUUCAACACAUUCGUAAAUGGACCAAUGGAUUAAAAGGCCAAUUGACUGGGCUAGCCAAUUAAUAUAAUGUAAUUGAUAUAAUACAAUUAGUUAGUUAGUCC